rnacentral:rRNA from 1 species
AUUGAACGCUGGCGGCAGGCCUAACACAUGCAAGUCGAGCGAGCGGCGGACGGGUGAGUAAUGUCUGGGAAACUGCCUGAUGGAGGGGGAUACCUAUGGGAAACGGUAGCUAAUACCCCAUACCACAAGAGGUGCCCAGAGGGGAUUAGCUAGAAGGUGGGGUAACGGCUCACCUAGGCGACGAUCCCUAGCUGGUCUGAGAGGAUGACCAGCCACACUGGAACUGAGACACGGUCCAGACUCCUACGGGAGGCAGCAGUGGGGAAUAUUGCACAAUGGGCGCAAGCCUGAUGCAGCCAUGCCGCGUGUGUGAAGAAGGCCUUCGGGUUGUAAAGCACGUUCAGCGGGGAGGCGUUACCCGCAGAAGAAGCACCGGCUAACUCCGUGCCAGCAGCCGCGGUAAUUC